AGGAUAAACGCUGGCGGCGUGCCUAACACAUGCAAGUCGAACGCCCUUUUGCGCCGCAAGGUGGAAGAGGGAGUGGCGGACGGGUGAGGAACACGUGGGUGACCUACCUUUCAGUGAGGAAUACCGGCGAGAAAUCGCCGACAAGACCGCAUAUGCUUCUCUAUUCGCAGAGGGAAGGAAAGCUUCACGAGAGUGAGGCGCUGGAAGAUGGGCCUGCGGCCGAUUAGCUAGCUGGUGGGGUAAUGGCCUACCAGGGCGACGAUCGGUAGCUGGUCUGAGAGGACGAUCAGCCACACUGGGAUUGAGAACGGCCCAGACUCCUACGGGGGGCAGCAGUGAGGAAUUUUCGGCAAUGGGGGCAACCCUGACCGAGCAACGCCGCGUGCACGAGGAAGGUCUUCGGAUCGUAAAGUGCUGUCGAGGGGACGAUUAUGACGGUACCCUGGAGGAGCCCCGGCUAACACGUGCCAGCAGCCGCGU
rnacentral:rRNA from 1 species